AGAUCAGCAAACUGUUUCUGUAAAUUUAGGACCUCUUUAAGGGACAGUGCUUAGAGGCACUCCGGAUGGUCCAGCAUUUGACAUAGUUUCAAGCUUUUCUAACAAAACGAGGCUGCCUUGAAUCCCUGGCAACAAGUUUGAAAACACCUAAAUCCGCGUGUGGCAUAUGCCCUGGCAGACUUUGAGGGGUUCGUGCUAUGAGAUCCGAAGUCCUGAUGAGAUUGAUAAAGACAAAGAAGCAGGGCCUAUGGUGGGUCCAUGUGCGCCAAGUGUGUCUUUGACAGGAUCAAGCUGGGUUUCCUUAUUGAGGAGCAGAAAAUCAUUGUGAAAGUAUUAAAGGCAAAAGCACAGAGUGAGAAAGCAAAAUAAAUAUGCAA
rnacentral:lncRNA from 1 species